UACGAAGGGGGCUAGCGUUGCUCGGAAUUACUGGGCGUAAAGGGAGCGUAGGCGGACAUUUAAGUCAGGGGUGAAAUCCCAGAGCUCAACUCUGGAACUGCCUUUGAUACUGGGUGUCUUGAGUAUGAGAGAGGUAUGUGGAACUCCGAGUGUAGAGGUGAAAUUCGUAGAUAUUCGGAAGAACACCAGUGGCGAAGGCGACAUACUGGCUCAUUACUGACGCUGAGGCUCGAAAGCGUGGGGAG
rnacentral:rRNA from 1 species